rnacentral:rRNA from 1 species
GGGUUGUGAGGUUAAGCGACUAAGCGUACACGGUGGAUGCCCUGGCAGUCAGAGGCGAUGAAGGACGUGCUAAUCUGCGAUAAGCGUCGGUAAGGUGAUAUGAACCGUUAUAACCGGCGAUUUCCGAAUGGGGAAACCCAGUGUGUUUCGACACACUAUCAUUAACUGAAUCCAUAGGUUAAUGAGGCGAACCGGGGGAACUGAAACAUCUAAGUACCCCGAGGAAAAGAAAUCAACCGAGAUUCCCCCAGUAGCGGCGAGCGAACGGGGAGCAGCCCAGAGCCUGAAUCAGUGUGUGUGUUAGUGGAAGCGUCUGGAAAGGCGCGCGAUACAGGGUGACAGCCCCGUACACAAAAAUGCACAUGCUGUGAGCUCGAUGAGUAGGGCGGGACACGUGGUAUCCUGUCUGAAUAUGGGGGGACCAUCCUCCAAGGCUAAAUACUCCUGACUGACCGAUAGUGAACCAGUACCGUGAGGGAAAGGCGAAAAGAACCCCGGCGAGGGGAGUGAAAAAGAACCUGAAACCGUGUACGUACAAGCAGUGGGAGCACGCUUAGGCGUGUGACUGCGUACCUUUUGUAUAAUGGGUCAGCGACUUAUAUUCUGUAGCAAGGUUAACCGAAUAGGGGAGCCGAAGGGAAACCGAGUCUUAACUGGGCGUUAAGUUGCAGGGUAUAGACCCGAAACCCGGUGAUCUAGCCAUGGGCAGGUUGAAGGUUGGGUAACACUAACUGGAGGACCGAACCGACUAAUGUUGAAAAAUUAGCGGAUGACUUGUGGCUGGGGUGAAAGGCCAAUCAAACCGGGAGAUAGCUGGUUCUCCCGAAAGCUAUUUAGGUAGCGCCUCGUGAAUUCAUCUCCGGGGGUAGAGCACUGUUUCGGCAAGGGGGUCAUCCCGACUUACCAACCCGAUGCAAACUGCGAAUACCGGAGAAUGUUAUCACGGGAGACACACGGCGGGUGCUAACGUCCGUCGUGAAGAGGGAAACAACCCAGACCGCCAGCUAAGGUCCCAAAGUCAUGGUUAAGUGGGAAACGAUGUGGGAAGGCCCAGACAGCCAGGAUGUUGGCUUAGAAGCAGCCAUCAUUUAAAGAAAGCGUAAUAGCUCACUGGUCGAGUCGGCCUGCGCGGAAGAUGUAACGGGGCUAAACCAUGCACCGAAGCUGCGGCAGCGACGCUUAUGCGUUGUUGGGUAGGGGAGCGUUCUGUAAGCCUGCGAAGGUGUGCUGUGAGGCAUGCUGGAGGUAUCAGAAGUGCGAAUGCUGACAUAAGUAACGAUAAAGCGGGUGAAAAGCCCGCUCGCCGGAAGACCAAGGGUUCCUGUCCAACGUUAAUCGGGGCAGGGUGAGUCGACCCCUAAGGCGAGGCCGAAAGGCGUAGUCGAUGGGAAACAGGUUAAUAUUCCUGUACUUGGUGUUACUGCGAAGGGGGGACGGAGAAGGCUAUGUUGGCCGGGCGACGGUUGUCCCGGUUUAAGCGUGUAGGCUGGUUUUCCAGGCAAAUCCGGAAAAUCAAGGCUGAGGCGUGAUGACGAGGCACUACGGUGCUGAAGCAACAAAUGCCCUGCUUCCAGGAAAAGCCUCUAAGCAUCAGGUAACAUCAAAUCGUACCCCAAACCGACACAGGUGGUCAGGUAGAGAAUACCAAGGCGCUUGAGAGAACUCGGGUGAAGGAACUAGGCAAAAUGGUGCCGUAACUUCGGGAGAAGGCACGCUGAUAUGUAGGUGAAGCGACUUGCUCGUGGAGCUGAAAUCAGUCGAAGAUACCAGCUGGCUGCAACUGUUUAUUAAAAACACAGCACUGUGCAAACACGAAAGUGGACGUAUACGGUGUGACGCCUGCCCGGUGCCGGAAGGUUAAUUGAUGGGGUUAGCGCAAGCGAAGCUCUUGAUCGAAGCCCCGGUAAACGGCGGCCGUAACUAUAACGGUCCUAAGGUAGCGAAAUUCCUUGUCGGGUAAGUUCCGACCUGCACGAAUGGCGUAAUGAUGGCCAGGCUGUCUCCACCCGAGACUCAGUGAAAUUGAACUCGCUGUGAAGAUGCAGUGUACCCGCGGCAAGACGGAAAGACCCCGUGAACCUUUACUAUAGCUUGACACUGAACAUUGAGCCUUGAUGUGUAGGAUAGGUGGGAGGCUUAGAAGUGUGGACGCCAGUCUGCAUGGAGCCGACCUUGAAAUACCACCCUUUAAUGUUUGAUGUUCUAACGUUGACCCGUAAUCCGGGUUGCGGACAGUGUCUGGUGGGUAGUUUGACUGGGGCGGUCUCCUCCUAAAGAGUAACGGAGGAGCACGAAGGUUGGCUAAUCCUGGUCGGACAUCAGGAGGUUAGUGCAAUGGCAUAAGCCAGCUUGACUGCGAGCGUGACGGCGCGAGCAGGUGCGAAAGCAGGUCAUAGUGAUCCGGUGGUUCUGAAUGGAAGGGCCAUCGCUCAACGGAUAAAAGGUACUCCGGGGAUAACAGGCUGAUACCGCCCAAGAGUUCAUAUCGACGGCGGUGUUUGGCACCUCGAUGUCGGCUCAUCACAUCCUGGGGCUGAAGUAGGUCCCAAGGGUAUGGCUGUUCGCCAUUUAAAGUGGUACGCGAGCUGGGUUUAGAACGUCGUGAGACAGUUCGGUCCCUAUCUGCCGUGGGCGCUGGAGAACUGAGGGGGGCUGCUCCUAGUACGAGAGGACCGGAGUGGACGCAUCACUGGUGUUCGGGUUGUCAUGCCAAUGGCACUGCCCGGUAGCUAAAUGCGGAAGAGAUAAGUGCUGAAAGCAUCUAAGCACGAAACUUGCCCCGAGAUGAGUUCUCCCUGACCCUUUAAGGGUCCUGAAGGAACGUUGAAGACGACGACGUUGAUAGGCCGGGUGUGUAAGCGCAGCGAUGCGUUGAGCUAACCGGUACUAAUGAACCGUGAGGCUUAACCUUACAACGCCGAAGCUGUU